rnacentral:tRNA from 1 species
GGCACCGUGGCCGAGUGGCUAGGCAGAGGUCUGCAAAACCUUUUACAGCGGUUCAAAUCCGCUCAGUGCCUCUA